rnacentral:rRNA from 1 species
AGCAGCCGCGGUAAUUCCAGCUCCAAUAGCGUAUAUUAAAGUUGUUGCAGUUAAAAAGCUCGUAGUUGAAUUUCGGAAUUUUUUUAUCGGUUGAAUCAACAGGUUCGUACUGAUUUUAAGAAUUUCUACCUUCUGGAGAACCUUAAUGUCAUUUAUUUGAUGUUUUGGGAAACCAGGACUGUUACCUUGAAAAAAUUAGAGUGUUUAAAGCAGGCUUAUGUCUGAAUAUAUUAGCAUGGAAUAAUGAAAUAGGACGGCAUGGUUCUAUUUUGUUGGUUUCUAGGAUCACCGUAAUGAUUAAUAGGGAUAGUUGGGGGCAUUAGUAUUCAAUUGUCAGAGGUGAAAUUCUUGGAUUUAUUGAAGACUAACUUCUGCGAAAGCAUUUGCCAAGGAUGUUUUCAUUAAUUCAAGAACGAAAGUUAGGGGAUCGAAGACGAUCAGAUACCGUCGUAGUCUUACCAUAACUAUGCCGACUAGGAAUCGGACGAAGUUAAUUUUUAAUGACUACGUUCGGCGCCUU